rnacentral:tRNA from 1 species
AUUCUAGUAGCUUAAUAUUAAAG